GAAACCUGAGUUUCUUAAAACUCUGUUUUAAGGUACAUAGAUGCAGCACAGAUGUGCAGAUACAACGUAUUCUUGCUGUGCUACAAGGUCAGAGCAGAUUGGACUACAACACCGAACAGAAGAAGCUACAGCGAGGCUCCAGUCUAAACGCACACCUAUUGUGGAAAUCACCUCUGUGUCAAAUGAACUUUUCAUCACAGCCGGCCCAGUGUCUCUUGCUUCAGUGGUAUCUGUCUUGCCCUUAGUCAUAAAAGUGUAAUAUUUGGGAGGUUCUAGAAUCUCUUUCAGAAUCCCUGUAUAAGGAUGGAUCCUUUUAUUCUGUAGAACCUCAGCAUGACGCCUGGCACACAGUAGGUUUACAAUGUGUGUUCGUAAUGAUGAUGAUCACGGGAGUGAGUGUGUCCGGUCUCACUUUUUUUUUGUGCCUCACUGGUGGGAGAACAGUAGAGAGUAAGACUAAGGAACUUUUAUGAGAAAACGCCUCUAUUUAGGUGCCUGACUGGCCUUGCCAAGGCCUUGAAUGACUACAAAGCGUAUGCUAAUGUAAAGGGGCAUCAAAGACUGCUUCUUCCUGGAUAUGCUAAAAAGCAUAGGCACCCUCAAUGGCAUCCAGACAAAGAGACGUGGACUGCUUUGUAAGGACCACAGAAAACGCGGCUCCGUUUUCAUUCAUCCUACCACUGCCCUUUGCACCUGUCCAGGGAGACUCGACAGGGCACCAGUGGGAGUCGGGCCAGCACCAUCACCAGCUCCUCAAGAAUGUGUGUGUCACUUUUAAUCAGGGUCUUGUAAGGGAAGCAGAAAACCCGGAAACUCCACCGUGUAAAACUGAUCAAAUUUGCAGUGUCAAUAGGAAUAAUAAAAUCUUGCCAGUAAGUCAGUUGGAAAUGAUGCUUUCCUCCUCACCCUUGUUUCUAGACUAUUCCGAUUAUAAAGAUAAAAGACAGGGAGGAUCAGGUUUGACCACAGAUUUCAGACCCGGUAGUUAAGGGCUCACUUCCAUAUGCCACCUAAAGACUCCUGUGCUUGCUACAUUGUUACUAGUUUGACGUGCGACUAACCAGUACAAGAAACCAGGGCUGCCUCCUUUGGUCUGCCCUCUGCUUAAAACUGUGGCUUCCACCGUUUCUAUCAGAAUGCUGUAGUCUUACCAGGUCAAAGCCAAAUUUUACCUCAUUUUGGGAGAUGAUUUGCCAUAUUUUCAAACUGGAGCUGGACAGUCUCUCCUACCAGCCUCUGUCUUUGGUUGGAUACAAAUCUGAACACAGUGUUACUUUUUUAAAAAGUGGCUGCUUUUUAGACAGUGUGACUUAGCAAGCUCCUUCCCCUGGCCUCCAUGUCCUGCCCUUCUCCAUCCCCGACCACACUCUAUGCCUUGACAGAACGUGUGUCCUCUGUGUACCCGUGUCCUGAGUGUGCUACAUCUUUGGAUUGGGAUGACAUCCGCAUCUCCACACCGGCCUACUCUUCCUCCAACUUCCUCUGCACCUUCUGAUCCUUGGAGCUUUGCAGAUGAGGUCUCUGAGCUGAGGGAGACCUGGGAGCUGGAGGUGUGAACGUGGAGGAGGCUUUGGAGCCAGGCCAGUCUGACUGAAAGAUGCCCCUCCCUGUCGAGGUACGGUGCUGCUCUAAGCUGAGGCGGUAAACAUGGAAGAUGGGAUUUUGUAUGAGCCAUCUACCAAUACAGCCAUCUUCUCAUGACAUUCUCUCUACUUUAAAUCCCCAGAAGUCAUCUACCCCCAUGUGUCUUAAAAGCCACUAGGAAUGUGGACUUGAGGACAAGGGCUUGCGAGUCCCUGGCAGAGUGGAAUAGAGAAACAUCCAUAGAGUUGAUUGUCUUGGAAGGAAAGCAGGGUAGGAAAUACUGGGGGCAGGGGGUGGGGGAGGGGAGGACUGAUAAAGGAGACAGAAGCAGAGUCUGCUUGGGUGGGAGGAAGGAGGCAGGGUGGGAGGGGUGGGAGGACUAUUGGAAGGGAAGGAAUCAAGCAGGGACAACACUGGAAGCAGUACUUGUGCCUGUGCUCCAUUUCAACCUCAACAGUCUUUUCUAAGAUACAACCUGAAGCUUUGUGCAAGGCUUUGAGAUAAAAAAUAUAUUUCAUGUUUAAAGGAAAUGAUGGGCAGACAGGUAGACAAAAUUCCAAAGGACUUGUUUUAUCUCCUUGCAUGACAGUAGUGGACUUAAGCAGGAGCUCUGGGGUGUGGUGUGCCCAUGCCAUGCCCUGGUUCUAGCAUUUAUUAGGUGGGAGUCCAGAAGAAGUGAGUUCGCUUUCCUCAUCUGUAAAAUGGGAACAGGAAAAAUGCAUGCAGUACUGAGGCACCACAUCACCAAUGACCCUGACCAUCAAAUGGCUGCUCCAACGAAUGGCUUUAACAAUGGCCACUCAUCGCUGUUAGUGCCAUUUCAGGCGUGCAUUUUUAUUUUUAUCUUUCCCCUUUGGAAGCAGAUAAGUUAGCCGUGCAGGCCACUGCAAGCUGUUCUAUGAAAACUUGACCAGACGCACAGAGUCCCUUUGGAACUGGGAGGGGACACACAGAUCUACACCCUCAGCCAACACACGUGUCUACAAGCUACACGGACUCAGCCAUGGAGAGCUCAACACUGCAGACAUCGACUGUUUCUUCCCCACCCAGGACAACUUUCCUCCUGGAAAAUUGAACCGUGACAGCCCUCUCUACUCUACUUCAAAGUCCUGACCCUUUUCAGCAUGUUAUUGCAUGCACAGGAAUGAACAGGCAGGGCCUUUAAAGAGACUCUCCGAGCGCCUUCGAAGAGGAAUCACCUCAGUCUAUUCCACCUUCUCCCGUCUGCCUGGGAGGAAGAAGCCAUUGAUGAAAGAGGCCUCUGCAGAUGCGGUGCUCGCACCCUGACUUUGGCUUUCUCAGGCUGCAGAAUCCAGAGAACUGCUUUUCACAGACUUUGUAAGUGCCGGGGUCUGUGGUGUUUUAAUAUGCAGCACAGAUGCACUCAGCGCUGAAGGAAAGCUAGCAUUUAUUUUUAACUCUUAUCGACUUACAGUUUAUAUAUACUUAUACAUAAGUACAUUCUUCUUGGAGUAGGCCCCUGUGACCUAUGGACCCAGUCAAUAAUGGGUUCUUUGUGACUUUUGGGACCUUAUGCCCUCCAACUUUAAAGUGUGGAAUUUAGAUUAUAAUCUUAGUUCUAAUCUGACCAAAUAGUUGAAAUUCCUUUUGUGUUUGGUCAAGUGAACAAUACACACCACAGGAAGAAAACAAUUCAAUUCCUGUUUCUCAGCUGAGUCUAAAAUAUGGUUUAACAACUCAGCAUGCAAAACCAUAAUCUCUUGCCUCUGUCAUAAUGAAAUGAAGGCUUCAGGCCAGGUGGGGUAAAGGAUGGGGUCUCAAAGUGUUCCUUAUCUUCUGUAAAUGAGUGGAAGCUUGCGAUGAAAACACCGGAGAAAUGUGUAGACUGAACGUCAGACAUAUUCACACGCAUAAGUGUCAGAAAGCACAGUGCAAAAUCGUGAAGCUCUGGUAUAAGUUCACAAGUGAUUCUGUAAGAAGGUCUAUCUUUUCCUUAGUUCUGAGCAAAAGAAGAAAACAAAAAGGAAAAACAAAGGCAAAGAACAAACAAAAACAAAAACCCUUACAAUUUCCUGGGACUAACUUCUAAGCCUUGAUUCUCUGUUCUGUACCAAAAUGUACAAAACAAAUCUGAGCAAAGCCACUCCUUUUAAAAGAGAAACAGGAAAUAUCCAAUGUCAUAUUCCGUUUAGUGCCUUGGAACUACAGAGUAGCAAGCAGUGUACACUGCCUGGUUAAUGUCUUCAAACGACUUCGUGCUCUCUGACCUUUCUGAGAGUUUUCGAGCGCUUCAUUGUAACGGCCACACGGGACUUUAGGAAGGAGCCAUGUGCUCUCUGUAGUACACAGCACUGAAACGUUUGCUGGAUUAGGAUACAAGCCACUAAAUGCUUCAGUUGGACUUCAAAAGAGCCCAGUUCUCCUUAUGACUGUAAGGGAAAAAUUUUUCAAAAGGGUGGGGAUUUCUCUUGAAUCAGUACCCAGAAAAUUAGGCUACUUUCCAAAUCUUAUUUGUGUAAACUACACAAAUACAUUUUUAUGUGGAAGGUACCACAGCAACGUUUCAGAAAAAUGGUAACAGUAAAUAAAAAAAAUCUACUCUGAGAAUGAGGCAGGUCAAUGAGGUUUUGGCCUUACAUUUUCUAGCUGUUUUGAUUACAUCAGCUGCACAAACGCCCACUCUGCAGUCACCUUGUAGCCACGACUGAGGAGAAGGGUAGUGAGGAUGUUGAGAGAGAUUUGCUGAGUAGUAGACUGAGGAUCUCUCUCGGAGAGACAUUAUUUCACACUUGAAAUUAUUUGUCAAAUAAGUCACAGGUGUUUGAUUAAAAAAAUUGAAUAAACUUCACUUACAAGCUUUUUUGAAGUCCAUGUGUUGAGAAAGUAACGUGUAUAUUGAAUACCUUUAAUCCAGUUACAAAUACCCAGUGUCCCA